rnacentral:rRNA from 1 species
GUGGGGAAUAUUGGACAAUGGGCGAAAGCCUGAUCCAGCCAUGCCGCGUGUGUGAAGAAGAUCUUCGGAUUGUAAAGCACUUUAAGUUGGGAGGAAGGGCAGUAAGUUAAUACCUUGCUGUUUUGACGUUACCGACAGAAUAAGCACCGGCUAACUUCGUGCCAGCAGCCGCGGUAAUACGAAGGGUGCAAGCGUUAAUCGGAAUUACUGGGCGUAAAGCGCGCGUAGGUGGUUUUGUAAGUUGGAGGUGAAAUCCCCGGGCUCAACCUGGGAACUGCCUCCAAAACUGCAUGACUAGAGUACGGUAGAGGGUAGUGGAAUUUCCUGUGUAGCGGUGAAAUGCGUAGAUAUAGGAAGGAACACCAGUGGCGAAGGCGACUACCUGGACUGAUACUGACACUGAGGUGCAAAAGCGUGGGGAGCAAACAGGAUUAGAAACCCUUGUAGUCC